rnacentral:rRNA from 1 species
GACGAACGCUGGCGGCGUGCUUAACACAUGCAAGUCACGGGGGUCCCGCAAGGGAUAACCGGCGAACGGGUGCGUAACACGUGAACAACCUGCCCUCGUGUGGGGGAUAGCCAUGCUAACGCGUGGGUAAUACCGCAUACGUUCUUUGGAGGGAGUCCUCUGGGGAAGAAAGCUCUGGCGCACGGGGAGGGGUUCGCGGCCUAUCAGCUAGUUGGUGCGGUAACGGCGCACCAAGGCGACGACGGGUAGCUGGUCUGAGAGGAUGGCCAGCCACAUUGGGACUGAGAUACGGCCCAGACUCCUACGGGAGGCAGCAGUGGGGAAUAUUGCGCAAUGGCCGAAAGGCUGACGCAGCGACGCCGCGUGUGGGAUGACGCC